GACGAACGCUGGCGGCGUGCUUAACACAUGCAAGUCGAACGGAAAGGCCCUGCUUUUGUGGGGUGCUCGAGUGGCGAACGGGUGAGUAACACGUGAGUAACCUGCCCUUGACUUUGGGAUAACUUCAGGGAACUGGGGCUAAUACCGGAUAGGAGCUCCUGCUGCAUGGUGGGGGUUGGAAAGUUUCGGCGGUUGGGGAUGGACUCGCGGCUUAUCAGCUUGUUGGUGGGGUAGUGGCUUACCAAGGCUUUGACGGGUAGCCGGCCUGUGAGGGUGACCGGCCACAUUGGGACUGAGGUACGGCCCAGACUCCUACGGGAGGCAGCAGUGGGGAAUAUUGCACAAUGGGCGGAAGCCUGAUGCAGCAACGCCGCGUGCGGGAUGACGGCCUUCGGGUUGUAAACCGCUUUCGCCUGUGACGAAGCGUGAGUGACGGUAAUGGGUAAAGAAGCACCGGCUAACUACGUG
rnacentral:rRNA from 1 species